rnacentral:rRNA from 1 species
AUUGCAGGCUGCAACUCGCCUGCAUGAAGUCGGAAUUGCUAGUAAUCGUAGGUCAGCAUACUACGGUGAAUACGUUCCCGGGCCUUGUACACACCGCCCGUCAAGCCAUGAGAGUUGGCAACACCCGAAGUCGGUAGUCUAACCGCAAGGAGGACGCCGCCGAAGGUGGGGUUGAUGAUUAGGGUUAAGUCGUAACAAGGUAUC